rnacentral:rRNA from 1 species
CCUACGGGGUGCUGCAGUGGGGAAUAUUGGACAAUGGGCGAAAGCCUGAUCCAGCCAUGCCGCGUGUGUGAAGAAGGCCUUCGGGUUGUAAAGCACUUUCAGUGGGGAAGAAAGCCUUGGGGCUAAUACCCUCGAGGAAGGACAUCACCCACAGAAGAAGCACCGGCUAACUCCGUGCCAGCAGCCGCGGUAAUACGGAGGGUGCGAGCGUUAAUCGGAAUUACUGGGCGUAAAGCGCGCGUAGGCGGUCUGAUAAGCCGGUUGUGAAAGCCCCGGGCUCAACCUGGGAACGGCAUCCGGAACUGUCAGGCUAGAGUGCAGGAGAGGAAGGUAGAAUUCCCGGUGUAGCGGUGAAAUGCGUAGAGAUCGGGAGGAAUACCAGUGGAGAAGGCGGCCUUCUGGACUGACACUGACGCUGAGGUGCGAAAGCGUGGGUAGCAAACAGGAUUAGAUACCCCAGUAGUC